rnacentral:lncRNA from 1 species
GCGCUUGACCAAGCCUGAAACUACAAGUAAGCUUCAAGUGAAAUUGAUACAUUACCUUGUGCAUCUCCACCAGUUAAAGAUACCACCCCUGGAUGGAGGAAGAGUACUUCCAGAGAAGAUGCCACAUCUACCUAUGAGACAGAUAAGGCAAGUCAAGACGACAUCACACUCCGAUACUUAGAAGUUUCGUGAUUACGAGAUCAUUCUCCUACAAUAUUUCCUAAUGUCAUUUGUACUAAAUCAUUCACUUGUACUCACUAAAGGAGAGCUUGAACCUAUGUACUUGUGUAAACCCUUCACAAUUAAUGAGAACUCUUCUAUUCCGUGGACGUAGCCAAUCUGGGUGAACCACGUACAUCUUGCGUUUGCUUUCCUAUCUCUAUCCAUUUAUAUACUUAUCCACACUAAUGACCGGAGCAAUCUAGCGAAGAUCACAAAAAGCGACCGUUUUCGCUACCUAGGAUCUAUCUUGCAAGAGAACGGAAAAUUAGAUGGAGAUCUCAACCAUAGAAUACGAGCUGGAUGGAUGAAGUGUAAGAGUGCAUCCGGCGUGUUGUGUGACCGUCGUAGGCCACUGAAGCUCAAGGGAAAAUUUUAUAGGACGGCAAUAAGGCCAGCGAUGUUGUAUGGCACAGAAUGUUGGGCGGUGAAGCAUCAACACGUACACAAAAUGGGUGUAGCGGAGAUGAGGAUGCUUCGUGGGAUGUGUGGGCACACGAGAAAGGAUAAGAUUGGGAAUGAGGAUAUCCGAGGUAAAGUAGGAGUAGCCGAAAUUGUAGGAAAGAUGAGAGAAAAUCGGCUCCGGUGAUUUGGACAUGUGCAAAGAAGGCCGACUAACGCUCCGGUUCGAAGAUGUGACUACGGGACAGAGGUUCAGGGUCGAAGGGGUAGAGGAAGACCUAGGAAAACUUUGGAAGAGACUCUAAGAAAAGACUUAGAGUACUUGGAUCUAACGGAGGACAUGACAUAAAACCGAGCGCAAUGGCGUUCUAGGAUUCAUAUAGCCGACCCCACUUAGUGGGAAAAGGCUUUGUUGUUGUUGUUGUUGUAUUUGAUUAAAUGAAUACUGUAGGAACAUUGCCUUGACAUAUGUGCUUUCGUAUGGAAAACUGAAUUUUGUGUGUUUAUAAGCAUGUAUAUACUCAAUAUUUAUUUAAAUUACAAUGGAAUUGACUGAAAAUUAUGGAGAAUUAGUAUAAGUUUACACACCGAAAGAAAUAGAAUGAAAAUGUAAGUAAAGAAAAAUUAGAAUGUAAUACAUAAUAUCUUAGUAUGUAGGGAUUGAUGACUAAAUGUGCUACGUGAAGAGAUUGCUUAUUUCGUUAGUUAAGGGCAGCACUUGAUAGAAGCGUAACCAAAACCAGGUAAGAGUCACAUUUGGUUGCAUUCCUAUCUCAAUUUUGUGUAUUAUUCACUUAGCUCUAUGUUGUUAACUGCAAAUUUUGCUAUUUUUGUUGCCUUCCGUUUUAUCUACUAAUUAUUGUUCUAUGAAUUGUAUUCUUCAGUUAAAUAAUGAUAACUAGAAUCCCAAAGAAAAAAAAUAAAUUCAAGGAUUGCAGUGUUUGGGAUGAUAAUUUGUAUCCAAUAUGAUCAUUAGCCAGGCAGAACCUAAUUUGGGAAGUGGUUUUAAAGUUUUAAUAGUUUUGUUGUGUGUAAAUUUCUUGCUUUGCCUAGCUACCAAGAAUCUAAUAACCAAAGGCUUAGGUGUUUUCCCCAAAUGGUUUUCAAUUUGUUGUAGGUAAACGAGGGCUAAUGUAUUGUUAUGCACAAGGAAAUGGAAGGAAAGUAAAACUUCAAGCUUUUAAUACAAAUUAUAAAUGGAGCAACACUAAACAAAAGAUAGGUAAAACUGACCACUACCUUCUUUCCAGUUAAAUGUAAAUCAAUUGAUUAAGUGUGUGUUUAAAAUGAAGUUUCAAUUGUUUUCAAACUCUAACAAUGAACUUCUACGCGUUAAGAUAAUCUAUUUAGAGUUUUGAUCCACUUUUGAUUAUGCAGAAUUUCAAUUUUUUUUCAUAUAAAGUUUCCAUUUUUCUUUUGAGUGAGAGAAGAAGUUUUAAUUUGGGUUUACAAUUUUUUCCUUUGUAGAUUUUCGUAGUAGGACCGAGCUUUCAAAAGGCACUUCAAGUUCUGGAAAUCUUUUUUGUUAUGGUUUUGUUAUAUCAGGUUCUAAAUUGUGCAAACCAUUUCUUUAAUUAGAGAAAAUUAAGCACAAUCCUGCUUAUAUACAUAUUGUUAUUUUAAGAAACAAUUUUGUUAGUCUUUUCUAAAAGAAAUGAUAAUAAGAAACUGCAAUUUACUUUUCGGUAUCAUUCUUAACUGAUUUCUGAAUUUAUGCCCAAGUCUGUCUAAUCUACUCCAAAUAUAGGCUGAGCAAAAGGAGGAAAGGUUUAAGUAGGUAUGUGUACAAUGUGUUUUCAUCAAUUCUUUCUCAGAAUGUGCCUUCAUUGUUGGUUUAUGUACUAUUUUUCUCUGUCUAAAAAAUUGAAAUAAAUAUGAUAUUUUCACUAUUCCUUCUUCUUCCAAGUUUUUUCCACAGAACAUAAAAAUAGAAAUGACUAUUUGUUUCCCUUUUUCUACUUUGUUCUUUUGCAGCAAAACAAGCAUGAUUUUGUUGGUACUCCUUAUUUAGUGAAGCAACGGUUUCAUAUUGUGAACUGUCUUUGUGUGUUUAUCACCUUAUUCUUUAUGGUUCCAGUUUCCUAAAUGAAGUUUGACAUGUAUGGAAUUUGAAAAUUUAUAUCCAUAAACUUCAUUUUGCCCAUGGACACCUAUGUUGUUCCGUAUUUUUGAAAGAGUUGUAAAUAAAUUUGCACAUGUAUGUGAAUAAUAUUGUCUACUGUAUAUACAUAUAUAUAAUUUUUUUUAGAACUUCUAAAUGUGUUAUACAAUUUUCAAUCCUGCAGUAAUGCGCAGUCAUCCUUGCUAGUUCAAGCUAAAACACAUACCACAACAUGCAAUUUAUCCAUGACAUUUGGAUUAAAUAUAAACAUGAGUGAUUCAUUAAUCUUUGUGAAAAUCCUUUUGGUAAACCAUGUAAUCCCUAAAAAGUAUGAAAUUUAUCUUAGGAGAAAUUAUAAUCCUCAAUCACAAGAAGCAUAACCAAUUUUAACGUGAUAUUCGUUCAAAAUUGCAUCCGAUGACUUUUCUAAGCAUCAUAAUGGUGAUCAAACAUCAAAACACAUAGAUAGUUUAAUUCAGUGAUUGAAAAUAUCAAAGCAAGCAUGUAACAACACUUAAGCAAUUAAAAGAGAAACCUACGUAAUCAUGUUGAGGCUCACAACCUCACUUUAGCAAAAGGAAAUUAGUUAUACAUGUUUGAAUGCAUAAAGAAUUAUCCAUGAAGAAUCAAGGAAAGAGAACCACCGUUUUUUACAAGAAUUCUCCCUAAGCUCUCUCUUCUCCUCUGAAAAAAAGAAACUCCUCCUUUUGUCAUUAUCGCCUCACUAUUUAAAUUCCCCUAAUGCGUACUUAAAAAGACUCCAAUCAUCCACAUUCCGGAUCAGAUUAGGAGACACAAAAUAAAUGUCAAUUAAAAUUGAUUUCCUAAUUUAAAUGGACAAACAGAACGUGCCCUGCCUCCAUACGUUUGGUAGACCAAAAGUCCCUAGAUUUCAAUGAAUGAGCUGUCCUUAGAAGGCUUGAAAUGUUUGCUUCACAAGCUAGCAAGAAAGUUUCCUCAAUUUAGGCUUUAAUUAUGCUUAUCUCUCAUGCAACCUUUAGAGAUCCAAAUUGUCUUGUCAGCACGCUGCCUUGUCUUCAUUCUUAAACUGGGAAUGAUUGGCUGGGAAUUUUAAGCUAAAAACUUGAAACGAUCAUCUUCAAUCUCUUGUGAAUCAGCUCCAACUGGAAUCACUCAAAAAUUCUAUCAUUUGCAUACUUUUCCACCAAACUCGAUCCUGCUGCUCCUAAAAACACAAUAUGGCAAAAGUAUCACAAAUACUUAAAACUUCCAACUAAACUAGACAAGAAAAGAAAUGUAAAAGUGCAAAAUAUAUAUAGUAUAAAUAUUGGUUCAUCACCUUUCACGAUCUUGCUCAUACGAGCUUGAUUCGGGUGUUGUUUUUCGUAAAAGAAUGAGCUCUGAAAGGGAUAGGCCUAAGAUAAUCAACACUCAUUCAAGGACCUAAACUUAACCUCAUUAACCUAUUAUUGUUGAAAUGUAUUUCUACAUCUCAAUCUUCAUAUUGGUUAAUAUGGCUAGGUUCUCAAUUUUGAAUUGGUUGAGGAGGGAUUGCUUCAUGCAGUCAUUCCAUCUAAUUCAUCACAAUUAGCUACAAUGAAUUGGGCCUUAAAAUUAACUGAAACAAAUUUAAAAGGGUUCUUUUGCCACUUAACUUCAUUUGAGAGAUGACAUUUUCUGGUACCAAUGAGCACAUUAACUUCUUUUUUUCUGUUUUUUUGGUGAAAUUUCACAGCAUCUUUGGUUGUAUUGUGUUGGGAACAUCGUAUCACUUUAAUCUCUCCAAAAAAUGGAAUAUAUUUGCUACACUACGGACCAAAAUUAUAAUAUAUAAUAUGAUUUAAUAAUCGAUCACCCAAGAUCAUGAACAAUCAAUUCUAGAUACUUCGAAAAAAUAAAAAAUAACAAAUAUAGGAAUCUGUAAUUUCUGCAUGUUCCGAGCAUCAAUGAAAUUGCUUGACAAAUGAUAAGAAAGUUGUCUCCAAGGAUAUAUGUAUGUAUGUGUGUGUGUGUGUGUGUGUGUGUUGUGUGUGUAGCAUGAUGAUCUUCUCUAGAUCUUCUUUGUGAGAAUCUUAGAAAUUCUUACAUCAUGAUUAUUCAUCGUAUAUCGUUCGAUUAGUUUUCGUUAAAUAUUAUUUAUAUUUAUUAUUAAAUAAAAAAAUUAAAAUAAUUUAUCAUUGUACGAUUUAUGAUAAAUAAUUAGAAUGUGAGAAUUCUUAAGAUCCUCACAAUUUGAAUCCGGAUAAAAUCCAAAUCUACAGACCCUUUAACAAGAGGGAUCCUUAUUUAAAAAAAAAAAUAGGGACACUCUCUUGACAGUUGAAUUGACUUUAAUGAAAUUGUGUGAUUCAGAUUAAAUCAUAGACCAUAUAAUUUCAUUAAAGUCAAAUCCAACGAUCAAGAAGAUAUCUCAAUUUUUUUUUUUUUAAAUGAGAAUUCCUUUUGUUAAAAUAUUCCUCUAAAUCUAUAUAUACAUAUACGCUAGCCGAUAGGCUAAACAUAUUUGACUGCAACCUGCUCGGGAUCUGCAUACGAUGAAAGAUUUGAAUAUUGUGCCAGUGCACAUAGACAAUGACAUGAUAGAGACUGAGUGAGACAACUUAGCAGAACUAAAAAGGAAAACAAAUAUAUUUUACAUUAAAAAUAUGAAACUUUUCCGAAACUCUUCAUAAAAUCCAUUUUUGUUUGCCUUUACAACAAAAAUAAAAGCUUUCUGUUAUUUAACGUUUUAACACCGCUGAAUAAAUUUUGAUAGCGAAUUACUUGAUUCGAUGAAUGAAAGAGGCCCUACAACCUCUUUAAAAAUAAAAAUAUCGUCCAACAAAAUGUUCAACCGAGGUUUAAAUAUUAGGAACUUUAACGAUAAGUUUUUGAUAUUGUUCACUUCAACAAAAAAUCAUAUUUUAUACUAAAAAAUUAAUCCUAAUACUAUUUACUUUACCCUUUAUUCUGUCUUUAUCGUUAAAACUCAAAAUUUUCAAGCUCUUUUUAUUAGUUUUCUUUUAAAUAUUCACUACAAUUGUAGUUGGUAGCACUACCAUGAUAUAAAGAAUAUAGCUAUAUUUGAGGCAUACACUAAAGUGGAAUCACUCUUAGUUAUUGAUAAAUCACCAACCCACAACUCAAUUAAAUCUCAGUUUAGUACCCUUAAGAGCAACUCCACCCUUGGAGCCCUUCCCCCUGGCAAUCCACUAUUCAAUCCACCUAAUGAACAGUAACUGCCCUUAAUAAAUAGUAAUUGUCAUUUGCAUCUCCACCCUUGGAAACCUUUCCCCUGGCAAUUAGUAAUAAAAUAUUAAUAUUUUUUUCUCACCCAGUCCAUAAAAUAUUAUUAUUUUUCUCACCCAAUCCAUAAAAUAUUAUUAUUUUUUCCUAAUUUUGACCGGUACUCUCUCUCUUUCUCUCACAUCAACAACCAUGGAACACCGAGGAGGAAGGAGGAUGAGGAGCGGAAGGAGGACGAGGAGGAAGGAGGAAGGAGGACCGGUCCUCUCUCUCUCUCUCUCUCUCUCUCUCUUUCUCUCUCUCUCUCUCUCUCUCUUUUUCUCAGCAGCAGCCAUGGAACACCGAGGAGGAAGAAGGGCGAGGAGGGGAAGGAGGACGAGGAGGAAGGAGGACGAGGAGAACACCGAGCGCAUGCACCGAUGCCGCACAUCAGCCAUACGUCACACAGCCCUCAGGCUCUCUCGGGCUGGCAAUCCCCGCCGGGCUUGUCGCUCGGGCCCUUUCUCCUCGUCUGUCCCCCGAGCAACCAGCAACGCUGGAUCCCCAUCCCCCGGCCGUUGGGCCCUUUUUCCUUGCCUGUCCCCCGAGCAACCAACAAUGCUGAAGUUGCUCUAAGUUUCGUGGUUUUCAACAUUUGGUACAUGCAGUUUUUUUCAUCCCAGAGUCAUACCUAAAGUAUUAAUUUUGGGACAGACUCACACAUCCGUUAGUCUGGUUGUUAAAUCUCUCCUUAACUGAUGACGUGAUGUCCAUGUGGACAAUGACUGGGCGCCACAUGUCAUUAAGGGGUCCUCGUGGAAAUUAAACAUUAAAAAAAUUAAAAAAAAACCCAAAUCCCUUUCGUCUUCCCCAGAAUCCUUAACCGUGCCCACCCUCCCACCCCCCAUCACCUACCCCUUCUUAGCAAACCCUCCCACCUCAGUCGUCAUAAAAAAACCCCCAAUGUUCAUGUGCCUCUCUGGCAUAUACGUAGUUGGAAAUGGCACAAGUGGUGGCAUUCCCACGGGAGACGACCCUUGGCCGGUUAAAUGUUGUUUGGAAGUUUUUGUGUGUAAUAAUCGUCGGUGUAACCCCUAGGGUUUCCCAUUUCAUCUUUUUUCCGGUGAUAGAUGGUGGUCGGCUCGUGACCAGCAACGAUUUGCAUCAUCUGCAACUCCUGGAUCUACCUUUGAAUCUCCGCCUGAGACAUCACCGGUUCUUUAGUGUGGCGAUCCCCAGGAAAUUGGGGUUUGUCGGCGAGGCCAUGACCGGAACCGUCGAAGAUGAUCCAUCAGGAGACCCGAUCUGAAUCGAAUUCAAAGUGUCGACGAACCACUGGCCCUCGGACUUGGUCUAGCUGGAGCCGAAGCUAGCGGAAGUGUUGCUGUCCAGAGGGAAAAGAAAGAGUUGGAGCCUGGUGGGCUUAGCAGAUGCACUGUAGAGCCGGCCGUACUCGACCAUCAUGUGGUCACGGUCUUCGUCGUUGGUGACAUAUAUGAGAACAUCGAGAUCUUUGCCGGGAAGCUGGUACUUGAAGCAAACGACGUCGUUAGAGGUGUCGCAAAGGGAUGAGAGCUUAGAGAUGAAAACAGAGAGCUUGAUAUUGUGAUCGAUAACGAGGAUUUUGGUGUCAUCGCCGACGUAGGCAAGCUGGUGGUCGUAGGGGCGGGGUUGGAUUUUGCUGCCAUAGCUGCAUAUGAACUUGACUUUGUAGGUGGAGGUUGCAAAAGGGGGUUUGGUCGUCCCACGAGAGGGUGUUGCAGUCGAUUUCGCGAGAGCGAGGGGAAGAGUCGAGGGAGUCCGGGUACAAGUGGUGCGAAAGAAAGAGUGUUGGGAGUGGAAGAAGGGGUGGGAGGGUGGGUACGGGUGGGGAUUAUGGGGAAGACGAAGGGGAUUUGGUUUUUUUUUUUAAAUUUUUUUUAAAUUUUUUAUUUCCACGUAGACCCCUUAAUGACACGUGGCGCCCAAUCAUUGUCCACAUGAGCGCCAUGUCAUCAAUUAACGGGAGACUUAACAGCCAAACUAACAGAUAUAUGAGACUGUUUCAAAAUUAACACUUCAGGUAUGACUUUAGGACAAAAAAAACUUCAUGUACCAAAUGUUGAAAACCACGAAACUUGAGGGUAGUAAACUGAGAUUUAUCCUUUAAAAAAAAAUAAAAAUAAAGUAUUACAUAUUGUCCAACUAUUGAUAGGCAUACACAUCGUAUUUUUAUUUAGAACAAUAGCCUCUGAUCGAUGCAUACUUUUUCCCACGACUUGGAAACCAAAUUAAAAUUAUCAAUUUUGAAUAUUUGAUCAAUCACCACCUACUGUAUAUUGUGAGACUUAAACAUGAAACCUAUGUGAAUGGAUCUAUGAAAACUAUUGCGAACAAAUAAUUAAAGCAUAAUGUCACUUAGUACUCCAGUCUAGUGGUAUUUCUCUUCAUUUGUAAGAGCAGUUCCACUGUGGGCUAUUGCCCGAGGAACUGGCUCUUAAACAGGGUCAGAAAGCCCGAGUGGGUCCGAGGGAGAGGCCCGACAAGAGUUGCCAGCUCGAAAGCUCAAAGGCCAUGUGACGCAAGAUUGACGUCUAGGCGACAUCAGCCAUCAUCUCCACUGCAUUUCUGGGCCUCAACCUUACAACUACUCGAUCUCUUCCGGGUACUAUUUGAUUUGAAAAAAGUUAAACAACAGGCAUACAAGCAACAUUUCAUUUACUCAUUUGAAUUUGCCAUGCUUAUUCUAUUACCUCAAAAUUUUCAAAUUCUAAACAUUUAUUUAAAUGAUGAAUUGAAAUAAUGCUUCCAUUUUUCUCCAAAAUUCAAUCGAAUCCCAUUUGGGGAAACAAAAACUGACCUCCGUCGUCCUUGGAAGCUGUGGAGCCAAAUAACGCAGUGCGGAUCCAGGAGAUUGAGAAUGAGGGAGCCAGGACUUGAAUGAUGACAAUUUGAAAUUAACCGGGCGAUCCAGCUUCACGGCACCCCUCUGCACCACACCAUUUAGCGAAGCCAUAAACUACAGAAGUGCAGCAAAAAUUAAGAAGGGCAUUAAGGUGUGCUGCUCUGCUGUGUGUCGGAAGUGCAGCAAAAAAAAAAAUGGUAGAAGUUUCAAAAGUAAUAAUCUAAUAUUAAUUUAUACAAAGUAAAUAAUAUAAUGUUAAUUAUAAAUUAAAAUAAAAAAAAUAUUUUAUUACCUAUUGUCAGGGCUAUUUAGUGUAGGGAUGGAGAUGCAAAAGACAGUUACUGUUUAUUUAAGGGCAAUUACUGUUCACUGGGUGGACUAAAUAAUGAAUAACCCCGGGGGGGGCCUUUGCAACCGUGGAGUUACUCUAAGUGAGAGGUCUUAUGUUCGAUUCUUGCCAAUGGCGUGAUUGAACCAUAUUAUUAUGGCAAAGCCCAUCCUCCUGGCCUUUAGUGUAGAUAUUAUUGGCAUACUAACUCCCUUCAUCUACCUUCCUUCAUAUUGAACACACAGUAUUUGCUUGUUUUUGACAAUUUCUUCUAAUUAAGCAUUCUUCUUGUCUCUCUUAAACAACUUUUAAUCAGUCACUUGGUAUUACAAUCUAAUAAUAUUCAUCUUUACUUGUAAGCGAGAGGUUUUAGGUUUGAUUCUCGUCAAAUGCGAGUUUAAAUCAUAUUAUUGCUAACCUAUUGUGAGUUUAAGCUUAUCCUCUUUUUGCUAUGAUAGAUUAUAUCGUUUUUUAAAAAUAAAAAAAAAAUAAAAAAAUAAAAACAACUAUCAAUUAAUUUGUUUAAGCACAACCAUGUGAAUGCUUGAUAUGGCCGAGUACAAGCCCAAUAAAUGCAUGAGAUGAAAAAAAAAAAAACAGACUUUCCGUUUUGGCUAAUAAUGCAACAACACAUGAGCUGUCUACUUUAAGUUGGUUGAGUACUGCUAUUUAAUAUUGUUGUCUAAUGAUAUUUAGUGAUUUUUUAUUUAUUAAAGGGUGUGUUAUCCACACAUCAUUUUAUUAAGGAGUGUGUUAAAUUUGAAUCUCGUGAUGACCACUUCGGUACUAAUUUAUUAAGGAGUGUGUUAUCCACACAUCAUUUUUUACUUUUUACACACCCUUUAUUAAUUUAUGUAUGUUGAUAUUUUUAAAUUCAUCCGAUCUGAAUAUCGAAAAUAAAAAAAGUAUGAGAAAAAUAAAAAAGAAUGUGUGGAUAUCACACCCCUUUAUUAAUUCCUUGACCCGUAUUGUAAAAAUUGGAAAUUGGUUGAAUUAUAUUAUUUCUCCAAACACGCCCCCCCCCCCCCGCGGCGGCGGCGCCGGAGUGAUUUCAAUAUUCCAAAUAAAUGCAACUUGGUAGUUGAAUUCAAACUCAACUGCCCAAACCAAACUCAAUUAAUUUAUUUUGUUGCAACUCAAAGUAAACCUAAACAUAAUAAUAUCUCAACAACAAAAGGAAUCACGAGCUUCUACAUCUAUUAUUUUUGCAUUUACACAAUGAAUCUUACCCAUUUAGUUACUCCUAUUCACCUUUCAAACUUGUUUCCUACGAAUCAACAUUUUCUCCCUAAACUCAUCUCCCUGGAUACACCAUACGUACAACUCACUUGUAAUAACAUACCAUUGUCGUACACAUUCCAUAACUGAAAUAAUUCACUUACCAAAUACUAUUUAAGAUUAUUUCCGUAAAAAAUCAAUCAAACUAAAGACCGUUUAAUAUUUAUGUGUGAAGAAGAUGACGAUUUUGGUAAUUAAAAUCAUUUUGAUAAAGUACCUUCCAUUUGUGAUAAAUAUAGACGAUCAAUUUGAUUAAUUAUUUGUAGAAAAAAAAAAUUAAACGGUGUUAAAUUAAAUAAAUAAUCUGAUUAUUGACAUGUGUACAAGUACAAUAAGAGUUCGUUAAUUAGCUACAAAUGGGUGGAUAAUUAAGAAGGUGAACCCUAGGGUGCACUCAAACAUUGUUCCCGUGUUAGAAUGUGUUAAAGAUUUAAACAACAUGGUUCUAGGAUCAAAGUUUGACAAGCAUCACGAAACAAGGACGAGAAGGAUGAAUGGUACUAACCUGCAUUGAUUGGAGGCAUGAUGGUUCGAGUAUCACAUGAAAAAAAGUUAGAAGUUCCAUCAUAAAACUACUUGACAAUAUGGAGAGUAGUCCAAUAUCUUAUUAGCUCUUGUAUGGUUUGGUUUAUCACCGAUUUGAGACUUUGUCCUCACUUUCUCACAUGCCCCCUCACGUGUGGCAAAUUUUCAAGCCUAACACGUGAACAACACAAAUUCAGUGAAUUGGAGCACGUAUAGCCGAUAGGCUUCACACAUGGGCUAACAUGCUCUGAUGCCAUGAAGAAAGUUGAGGUUCCACCAUAAAACCAAUUGACAAUAUGGGGAGUAGCCCAACUUACUUAUAAGCCCAUGCAAAGGUCCUUCCUCCCAUCAAUGCAAAAUUCAUUCUCAACAUGCUCCUUCAUUUGUGACAAAUUUUCAAGCCUGACACGUGGAUAAGGCAAACCGGGUGACGUGGAGCAUCUAUGGCCAUUGAGCUUCACACGGGGGGACAACCUGCUCUAAUACGAUGAAGAAAGUUUAGGUUUCACCAUAAGACCAAUUGGAAGUAGAAGCCCAACCUCUUAUAAGCUCUUGCAUGGUUUGGUUCCUCACCGAUGUCAACCGAAUGACGUAGUUAACUUAUUAGUUACUCGGCCUGCGCACCACGUAGGCUAGGUAGUUUUUAGGGUCAACAUUUUGGCACGCCCGGUGGGACCAUAGUGCUAAAAAAUACAAAGUUCAUGACCAUUGAGACACGAUCGGUUAAAAACAAAACAGUCAUGUGAAAGUCCACGACCAACCUUGCAGUCCAGAACCCAUGACAAGAGGACUCGUCACAGGCACAUAAUCCUCUUGUCGCCGUGACACCUAAGGCCAUAAGCACGAUGCUCCGAGAAAAAGAGGUUGGUCUCGGCGACCAACCUCACAAUGCAGGAACCCCUAACAAAAUCGGGGGUGUUUUAAUAGAAGAUUGUGAUGAGGAUGGUGGUGAAGGCUCUGAUCCACCGACUAGGUCAUUUUUCCGAAGACGGUUUGAAGAAUAAUCUUAGCAGUUUAAGCAUACGUUCAGCCGAGAAAUAAAAGGAAUACUCGAAGAAGUACGUAGUUACAGCGCCGUGCAUACUAGACUGCUCGAGGUCCUAGUUAGCAAUACAUAUAAUAUUGGUUACGCCAACCAAUCUAGACAACCUAUUCCAAAGAACAGUUCAAUAACAGCGUCACUAGCCGAGACAGGAUUUGCUCGGCUCAGAAUGAUUGAUCUGGAAAAAAAGGGUGGAUCAAGCAGCAAGAUGAACGACUUUGUCCAAGGCGCAGAAACGGCAUCCAUCGAUGUAAUUGAGGUCCAAAAAAAUGAUUGAUUCAGCCCUGGAAAAAGGGCCGAAAUUCCCAAAGUUCAUCUAUCUAUACCUAGCUUAUGUAGAAAAGUUCGAAUAUCCAAAAGGCUUUAAGAUUCCAGAUUUCAGCCUUUUUGCUAGAGAAUCGUCCCUGUCCUCAUUAGAACAUGUAGCCCGGUUCACUGUGCAAUGCGGAGAUGUUAAUAGUGACUUCCAUAAACUGCGACUAUUUAACUUAUCGUUAACAGGCUCGGCAUUCGCAUGGUACAUCAACCUCCCGCCUAACUCCAUCCAAAAUUGGGAGGAACUAGUCGAGAAAUUCCAUGAGCAAUUUUAUCGGCCGGGAAUAGAAAUGUCAGUGUCUUCAUUGGCCAGGAUGGCUCAAGCAUCUGAUGAGUCACCAAUGGAUUAUCUUACAAGGUUUAAAUCGGCCAGAAAUUGGCACCGAGUACCUCUGCCUGAAGUCGAGUUUGUUAGGCUUGCUUUGAAUGGGUUAGACGUAAAAUACAAAAAGAAAUUCUUGGGGGGGAAAUUUCAGGAUAUGUAUGAACUGGCUCAACAUGUCGAGCAAUAUGAUUAUCUACUCCAGGAAGAAAAAAUAUCGAAAUCUCCGACCUGAGGAACAAUCUACAAGAAUCAUUCGGUCAGUUAUGCAUCGGUCGAAGGAGAAGACUCCUAAUUUGCCAGUGUAAACGCAGUCAAAAUUGUAAUCGAUAAGCUAUACAUAUGUAAGGCAUUGACCCAUCCUAACUCCAAGGAUGCCAAAAAUCGUCCAGCCUCUGAAGAAGCCACAAUCAAAACAUCAAAAGUUUAUACUUUUAAUAUCACUAAGGCUGAUGCAAUUUUCGACCAGUUGUUGCUUGCAAAGAUUAUCAAACUCCGGCAAGGGCAUAACGUUCCUAAGGCCGAAGAGUUGAAGGGAAAAACAUAUUACAAAUACCAUAACUCAAGUAAGCAUACGACAAACAACUGUGUCGUUUUUCGUGAUGCCAUUCAGAGCUGGAUCGAUGAAGGAAAGUUAAAAUUUCCUGAGAAACAAAUGACUAUUGACGUCGACCCUUUCCCUUCGACGACAGUUGGUAUGGUGGAUACUCAUUUACCUAAAAAUGAAGGGAAAUGAUAGGCUAGGUUCGUUCCGAUACAACAUAUCCCAAAGCAUAACUCUCGGCAGCGACUUAAGAUCGAUUUAUCUUCAAACGAACCAUCUACAGAAUUGUCGGGACCAGCCAUAGUGGAAUCAAUGUCAGACUCUAGCAUAGAGGAAACCGAUAAGUCGAUGGUUUUAUGCAGUCAUUGCCAAACACGUGUUGUCCUAACUGAGCCAAAAGGAAAACCUCUUUAUGCUCAAACACUGCGACAACCAUCUACGGUCGCAACGACAUCCCCGACGGUAUUCCGCGUAGGACAGUGCCAGAAGGUGUUCGAAAGGCUAUGCCCUAAAAAAUGACCUGACGACCUGCCCUCGGCUAGAUAUCGUCUUGACUUUGACGCGCCGUUCUACAAUGAGGAUUAUUAUUCGCACAACUCUAGUAGCUCGAGUUCAUCGAACCAAAAACCCGUUAAGCCGCCUGAGCCACGAGACCAACGAUGGUAUAGCUACAAUUCUCCUACCAGCGUAUAUACCGCGUUAUCUAAGUCUCAGAAGCGGCGAUGCUAACGGAUCAACUGCAUGGUUCGACGACAGGUGGCACAGGCAACUUCGGCUACCAAGUGGCAACCGAAAGAAGUAAUAGGUCGUAAAGACGGCCUAUAGCCCCCAUCAGUUAUGGACGAAUUGCUUCAGGAAAAAAAGGUGAUCAAUCGCUACUUUGACACUACAAUCGAGGAAUCUGAUAAGUGCAUCAAACUCUUUCUUCGACCCUAGAAAAUGAAAGCUCGUUUUGAGCAAUUCAGAGAAGAAGUGGAAAUUAAACUCCAUCCGUUGCCUUUGCCAGAGCCACUAAUUAAAAUAUGACAAAAUCUGCACCCCCCGUUUCUCGGCGAGGCUUUAGAGUACAUGCGGGACUUUCAUAAAAACCAUUCCGCCAAUGACUUGUACAGUUUGCCCAAGACAUGUCAAGAAGCCCUCGACCUAGCGUUAACUUGCCCUGAUGCUGAACAGAUUAUCCAGAAAACCACUGAUCCAGCGAUGAAGGCCAAGUUCCAACAUAUAUGCGAAGCUCGAGUCCUCGACUUCGAGGUCAACCCAUACACUGAUUUAGAUACCACCGAGCUCAUUUUUUCUCUUGAAGACCUUCAGUAUUUACGACAUCAUUUCAAAGUUUUCUCAGCUGUAUCUCUCUUCGGCCUUACGGCCGAUGAAAAAGAAUGAGUGGUGCGUUUGGAUACUUACCUAGACACAAGAAAUGCUCGAAUCGCUUAAGAGGAAAUGGCUCGUAAAGCGGUACAGGGACAAAAUCAAACCCCAGCAACAAGCAAUCUCGAGGACGAUAACCAGACUGAAAUAGGUUUAGUCGACGUUCCACAAGAACGAGAUAAUCAAGUCGAAGAUGCUCCAGAGCACGUUAUUGCACUCGAUGACCCAGAAAACAACGAUCAAGAUCCAAUGGGCCCUUCAGUUCUUGAAAAUAUGGAAAUCAACAUGGUCUAUGUUUUACCUGUCUAGUUUUAACCCACCGCGCACCAACCAAACUUCUUGGAUGGGGACGUGAUUAUCGAGAAGGCAACACAGGUCGAUUUCAUCGCCAUUGAAAAAGAUGGGCAAGCAAGCAAAGAAGACAAGCUUAAAGUAGCCUUGGCCGAACUAUUUCCUCGCUCUUCUUCGGUUAAUCUUCAACAUCUGAAGUCGUUGUAUGUCACGACUCACAUUGAAGGUUAUCCAAUUUCUAAAAAUUUUGUCAAUUAUGGGGUGACGAUUAACAUUAUACCUGUCUCCGUCAUGAAGGCACUACGACGAUCUCACGAUGAACUUAUUCCAUCAAGGAUAACCAUGAGCAGCUUUGUCGGUGACACGUCCCAAACCAAAUGAGAGUUGUAAGCGUUGCAGGUCGCAAUCACAUAAUCGCAUUCUUCAUAGUCGACUCCAAGACCAAGUAUAAUGCAUUGCUCGGUCGAGAUUGGAUCCAUCAAACAAACUGUAUCCCUUCUUCAUUAUAUCAGGUUCUCAUUUUUUGGGACAGUAAAUCGGUCGUGGUCUAUCUGGCCGACAAUCAGCCGUUCGAAGCCAACAUGAUACAAGCACGUUACUACGAUGACCACGUUGGCUAUAUCAUCUUGCACGGUCUUAACAAUGGAGGACAGCUGACUCGGAUUUCGGUUCAAAAAGCCAUCGAGGUAGGUGCCCAGACUGUUCACCAGGAUUUGGUGAGACUCGGGUUGGCUGAGCUUACAUGCUCACCUCUUUAUAGCACAAGGCCUUUUGGGAACUCACUGGCUUUGGAUUCCAUCAGAACUCCGAAGUUAAGUGAGUUUGGGCGAGAGCAUUCCCAAGAUGGGUGACCUCCUGGGAAGUUCUCGUGUGAUUUCCCAUAAACAAAACCGUGAAAGCAUGGCCAGGGCCUAAAACGGACAAUAUCGUGCUACAGCGGAGUCGAGACUAGGAUGUGACAACCACAAUAGCUAGAUUCGACAUGGUGCUCAUAUUGCAUAAGUGAGUUUGCAAAUUCGACUUCUUUGUUCAUUUUUGCAUUUGCAAUUGUAAGGCUUGCUUGGUAUUGUGCCAUUUGCAUUGCCAAGCAACGCAUUCUUUUAUCACCCAUUAAUGAGAUAUUGAUGAUUUUGAGGAAACAAAAACACUUGAAAGUUGGAUGAUUGGUGAAUAUGUUGUGUGAUGGUUAGAUAUUCAACCUAUGCUUAUAUAGAAGACGAUUGAAGGUUUGCAUUUCAUGUGUGUAGGUUUGUGUUUCAUGCGUUUCGUCAUGUGUUUUGUAUGUAUUUGGUAUGUGUUUCGUGUGUGUCAUGUGUUUCACAUGUUUGGUGUGUUGUACAUCUCUAUCAUGUGUUUUGUAUGUGCUUCAUAUGUGUUCUGUGUGUCUUGCGUGUUUCACGUAUUUUGUGUUUAUACAUCUUUAUCUUGAUUUUUUUAUUCUUCCAUAGUGUUUCAUGUAUCGAUUUAGUAAUUUUUCAAUAAUUAUCGGAAUUUAAAUAUUUUUAGGUUAAAAUGUUCAUAAAAUUAAUUUAGGAUGGUCUACAUAUUUUUUUUAAGUUAAUUUUAAAUACAUAAUUUUUUUAAAGUUAAUUUGAAAAAAAAUUAGCCUAAAUUCAUUAUUUAAUAAUCUGGGGUUAAAAUUUUAGGCUAGAGUGGUUGGAGUAGAAAAUCUGUUUAUGAGUUAAAACAAAAAUUUUCUGGACUAAAAAUUUUAGGUUUUACUCCAAGAGUUGGAGAUGGUCUAAGAUUUGUCUUUUUUAGUUGAAAGUUACUUUCCUUAAAACAAUCGGUAUUCAAAGGAGAUUUAAAUUCAGGAACUUUUUCAAUAUUGAAAAAAAUAAGUAAUAGACUAAAAAUUAAAUCAUACUCCCACCAAUAAGUAAUAGACUAAAAACUAAAUCAUACUCCCACCAUAAGACUUGUCUUUUAAUUAUGGUGAAAAGUGAAGACGAUAUGGCAAGUGAAGAUGAUAUGCCACAUCUACCUAUGAGACAGAUAAGGCAAGUGAAGACGAUACCACACUUCGGUAAUUAGAAGUUUCGUGAUUACGAGAUCAUUCUCCCACAAUAUUUCCUAAUGUCAUUUGUACUAAAUCAUUCA